rnacentral:rRNA from 1 species
GACGAACGCUGGCGGCGUGCCUAAUACAUGCAAGUUGAGCGAUGAAGAUUGGUUCUUGCACCAAUUUGAAGAGCAGCGAACGGGUGAGUAACGCGUGUGGAAUCUGCCUUUGAGCGGGGGACAACAUUUGGAAACGAAUGCUAAUACCGCAUAAUAACUUUAAACAUAAGUUUUAAGUUUGAAAGAUGCAAUUGCAUCACUCAAAGAUGAUCCCGCGUUGUAUUAGCUAGUUGGUGAGGUAAAGGCUCACCAAGGCGAUGAUACAUAGCCGACCUGAGAGGGUGAGCGGCCACAUUGGGACGGAGACACGGCCCAAACGCCUACGGGAGGCAGCAGUAGGGAAUCUUCGGCCAUGGACGAAAGUCUGACCGAGCAACGCCGCGUGAGUGAAGAAGGUUUUCGGAUCGUAAAACUCUGUUGGUAGAGAAGAACGUUGGUGAGAGUGGAAAGCUCAUCAAGUGACGGUAACUACCCAGAAAGGGACGGCUAACUACGUG